GGGCAUAUAGCGCAGUGGUAGCGCGUUCGCUUUGCAUGCGAAAGGUCUUGGGUUCGAUCCCCAAUUUGUCCA
rnacentral:tRNA from 1 species